rnacentral:rRNA from 1 species
UCGAGAGUUUGAUCCUGGCUCAGGAUGAACGCUAGCGGCAGGCUUAACACAUGCAAGUCGAGGGGUAUAGUUCUUCGGAGCUAGAGACCGGCGCACGGGUGCGUAACGCGUAUGCAAUCUACCUUUUACAGAGGGAUAGCCCAGAGAAAUUUGGAUUAAUACCUCAUAGUAUGUGAGAAUCGCAUGGUUUUUCACAUUAAAGUUCCAACGGUAAAAGAUGAGCAUGCGUCCCAUUAGCUAGUUGGUAAGGUAACGGCUUACCAAGGCUACGAUCCUUAGGGGGCUCUGAGAGGAGUACUCCCCCACACUGGCACUGAGAUACGGGCCAGACGUCCUACGGGGAGGCAGCAGUAGGGAAUAUUGGGCAAUGGAGGCAACUCUGACCCCAGCCCAUGCCGCGUGCAGG